GCGCUCUCCAGGUUGGCCUCCGUGGGGUCCGAGUCCUGCGGCCCCAGCUUCUCCUUCAGCGCCGCCCACUUGCGCUGCGCCCCCUCCUUCACCGACAUCCUGCUGAACUGCGGGGCCAGAGAGAGAUGAGUGAUCCUCACUGAAUCGCCAUAGCAACCGAGGAGGCACUGGCUCCGCCCCGCUGUCCGCAAGAGGACCUUGAGGUGGCUACACCGGCAGGAACACCACUGCCCACUGGGGGUGAUGCAACAGAAUGGCAUCUCUGGGGCUCCCGAGCACUUCCCUAACCCAGCGGUCAGGGUCAAAUGGGGUCAAUAGGAUGCACACAAUUCCAGACCCUGGCACUCCUGGGCUGCAGCUGGGAAGAGGGCUAACGGGGUCACGCCCAGUGCCCAUCCAAUUCCUGGCAAGAACAGGGCCCCAGUGGGCGGCAGCCCUGCCGGGCCCUGGCUCCUGUGGGCCCUUGGCAUGUGUAGAUUUACCCAGACUCAUUUACAACAUGUGUGACCCCCACCCAGAGUGCCCCCCCAACACACCUUUACCCAACACAGAACAGUACAGGCGGCUGUGCCCCCUCCCUGGGGCCCUCUGCCAUGACGCUGUCCCCACCCACAUCCUCUGGGGCCUGGCCUCAAAGGUCAGGGGCAGCCCAGACUCUCCUGCGCCCAUGUAUGGCUCGGCUCUUAUAUUUAGUAUCUAAGAAGGGCAGCAGGAGCCCCUGGGAGGAAGGCCUGAGGAGCAGGGUAGAGUGAUGCCACUGUGCCUCACGCCCCGCCACUGCCCUCAGCGUCCCCCCACCUUACAGGAGAGACAGGUGGCACCUCGAGAAGCCAGGUCCCAUGCCCAGAGCCCCAGGGCUGAAGACAGUGGACCCGAGUGGGACUGGACCCCAGCCAGAGAGAGGGUAGCCCGGAGUCUGACAUGCCGGACGCCCAGCUUGGCUUUACUCUAAGGGCUGCAGACUUGGAUGAGACUGAAUGUACAGACAAUGGCCAGACGGCACGUGAAGACAGAACUCUGACCCACAAGCAGCGGCACCCACUGCAGGAAGCUGGGCCGCCAUCAGAGGGAACCAGCCCCGGAAGCAGGCCGCACGCCCACGGCCCACGUGCAGGAAGGCAGCCCGCUAUCUGCAGCAACCAGCCCAGGGAACCCGACUACAGCACCGAGCCCUCACUCCAGGCAGCUGGGGCCUGGCCAGGGACUGACAGCCCAUAAUCCCAGAAUUGUUGUCCCCACUCUCAAUUUAGGACCAACUAGAGGAAGCCGCACCAUUCCCCCAGCCAUCAUGUGGGCCUUCCAGCUUCCCCAGCCCUCAUCGGGGCACCCAGGGGUCCCCUUUUUCUCUAUAAAGAAGCUUUCUAUAUAUAGAAAUGGUAUAGUUUAAUUUACAUAAUAUGUAUACAUGUGUCAUAUACAUGUAUAAUGUACAC